CAGGAGUUGCUCCAACACUCUCUCCUCAAGACAGAGUCAGGGCUUCAGGAGCAGAGUCAGCUCCUCGGAAAACCUCAAACAGACUGCCAAGGAGGAGCCCCAAGCUCAGCGUUGCCGGGAACGUCCAGAAAGAAAACCUCUACUCCCAAAACGAGGCCUGUCUUUUAUGAACACUCAGAAUCCAACAGUUAGCUUGAAGUCACCACAGAGAACUGCUUUACCACCAAUCAACAACGAAAACAUAAGGGGACCCACAACAGACAAACCCAGUUCUCAGCAUGUAUCAUGUAAAAAUGUGAAGACUCCAUCCAGUGGAAGUAGCAAAGGACUAGAAACCAUCAGGAAGGCUUUCUCUCGCUCUGUUGGGCCUAGAUUAAAGAAAGCUCUGACCAAAGUGUUCAGAAAACCACCAUCGGGAGUAAAUGGAGUACGAGGCCCCAAACGUCUGGGGAGGAUAGCAAGCAAUUUUCACUGGAGACAAAGCAAAGAUAGUAGCCUUAAAGAGACCAGGAUGAACAAAAAUAAAUGCACUAUUAAAACAACUGUUUCAUGUGAGCAGCUUAACCAAAAGACUUUUUUAGGGGACGUUAGACAGAGACGGUGGCACAGUACAGAAGCUCUAAUGAACAAGACCGGUCGAUGGGUGGAGAGACAGCAGGGAUUGGCCGGAUGGGAGGAGGAUGAGGGGGAAGUGGAAAGAGAGAGGGAUGAAGGUUCCUCAGACUGUGACAGCAUUUUCUCCCUUGACUCCCUAUCCUCUGCCUAUGCAACAGCCCUAGCAGAACAGCUGAGACAUGAGGAGGAAGCUCAGAGUGAGGCAGAGAGUGAAGACAGUCAGAUGUCUAAAGACUCCUUAGCUGUGGAGAGAAGCAAGAACGAUUCUACAGUUGAGCGACUUGUUAGGACAGUGGUGCCCACAUACUCAUUGGUGACACAGUCCUCCUGUCCAUCCAUACAGCACAAAACGAUAUCAGAGGGCAGUUCUGGUUCAGAAAGGGACAGCCAUCGGAAACCUCUGGAAAUCCCAGCAGAGGCAUAUUGGAGCCAGCAUGGCUCACCUAAAACAAGAGUGAGUGGGGAAAUUGGUGCAACAAAGGAGCUUCCGUCUCAUAACCUUCCAGUUACA
rnacentral:lncRNA from 1 species